rnacentral:tRNA from 1 species
UCUGGUUUAGCAUAUAUAAAUGCGAGGGAUUGUAAAUCCCUUUAAGGCUGCGUAGCCA